rnacentral:lncRNA from 1 species
ACUGUGUACCGGUACACCAUGAUGGCUGUACCGGUACACCAAGCAGAAAAAGCUGAAAUUUCGCAGAUCAAUGCAUUUUCUUGUUUUUAGCCAUCCAAUCACUCUCAAACUUGUCCAAAAACUUGUCUAAGUCCUUUAGAACAUGUAGGAUAGUUCCACAUUGCAUUCCUCACUCUCGAACUCCGCAAAUUGCUGAAGUUCAGUAUACUAUAAUACAGUAAGUUCAGGAAUCGCUUCGACGACGCACUUUUUUGCAUCCAAAAGUCUAAGAGCUCACAAAAUUGACCCAAAACUACCUUUACAAAAAUUAGAACCUGUGGGCACAUGCCACUUCUCAACCCCACUUUCCAACUUCACCAAUUUGUAAAGUUCAAGGUAUUACAGCCCAAGGCUCAUCACAUGUACAAUUUCAUCAAUAGAGAAAAGCACUAGCGGAAACAUACACAAACGGCUUACACGAGGGUAAGCAAUAGCCAUUAGUGAAAGAAAAAGGAAACUAAACAUUCACAAGUAAUAUGAUUCAUUUUAGAUCAUAUACAUCGCAUCCAUUUAGUAAUUUAUCGAAUUCUUACAUUCAUUACAUCAUUUCUUUCUUACAUCACAUUUACCUUAAAAUGAGCUUUACAUUCUUUCUUUACAUCACUAAAUCAUCAAAUACAAAAGAUGAUAAAAGGGUGUCUACUAACAAAAUGUAACCCAACAUUGGUGGCCUCUGACUAAGGCGCGAUACCUUUACCUCGGUCGCUCGCCGGCUCGCUCGGUUCUGGCUCUGUGGAAAUAGUGGGGUGAGAACUACAACAAAGUUCCCAGUGGGUUUGGCCUCAACAUCACCGACUUUCCCACUAGGACUAACUCAGGCAUAAUAGAAGAAAUAGGCUGUAAAUAGUAACCAAACUAUACUUAAUGCUAAUAUGCCUGAACAAAUAGCAAGAAUUAUGCUCAACAUUGAAUAAAUGCAGGUUAUGCAUGUUCUUUAGUUCUUUGCACUUUACACUUUGUUCUUUGCUCUUUGUUCUUUACUCUUUGCUCUUUAAUCAUUAAGGCUAACCCGGGGGUUUCGCCACAUUAACUUGCUUCACAUUAAGUCCAUCAUCGCAAGAACACACCAGCUAGGACCGUCCUUAUGGGUUUACUCCAACCCGGAUGCAUAACUCCGGAGCGCAUCGCCCGAGGGGGAGCGACCGCCCUCGAGCACGGAACUCAUAGCAAGUAUGAUCUUAUCCUUAACUCAAAGGAUUUAUAGUUCAAUCUUGACUUUACACUAGCUCUAGUGUUCUUUCAUCACUUUAUGUUGCUACCUCUAGCAAUCAUUGCUCUUUGCAUUUCCUUUACUUUUGCUAACUCUAGCAAUCACAUUCUUUAGCUUUACACGUUCUUUAUUCUUUAUACGUUCUUUAUUGUUCUCUUUGCUUUAGCUUUAGUGAUCGUCAUCAUUCUUUAUAUCACUUCGAUUCUUUGCUUCACACUAACUCUAGUGUCACUUUACUUUACAUUAUUUAGAUGCCACUCGAUCUAUGUCACAGUGUCACUCUCUUCUUUUGCUCACUUCGGUACUCACAUUUUCUCU